AUUCUGGAUGACAAGCUCUACGCAAGAAGGUAAGCUAUUUUAGAUUUUUGUCCAUAUUUGGAAUAUCCCCACUUUUGGAAUUUUAGGGAUUUGAUUCAUUUUUGUGUUGCAUGUUUAACGUUGGUCUGGGUGAUGAUCAUUUGAGGAUGUACGAACUUGAUUGGUUGUCAGUAUACUUGAAUGUGGCCAAAUUUGGCUGAUGUCAUCAGCAGGCACACACAGAGAAGGAAGAGGUAGAAAAAAACCAUUCAGAUCUUUUCUUUAUUGUGGGUGCAAAAAUUAAGGGUCAAUGCAUCCUAAAAACUAGCGAUUUCCCAUGCAUCCUAAAAACAAGGGAGUUGGGCUAAAAUAAAGCAACAUGAAUCAUCCACUACUAAAGAACAUGGAGUGAGAUAAUGGGACUGGAAGUCCAAGCUUUUUAUGCCUAUAAAAGGCCUAGAAUCCCAUCAGAACAGGGGGGAAAGAUGGAGAAAAGAGAGGUAUAAGAUCGUUCUAUAUUUUAUAAGCAUUCUGAACAAAUACUGACUUGAGCGUCAGAGUGUUUUCUUGCAGGUCCCCUUCUCCCUCAUUGAUGGCGAGUGAAGAUGGAGUUGAAGGCUUCUCAACAUGGUUACAAGAUUUACUUGUUGGAGGAUUAAAGGAACCAAAAUUUUCCGCUCCAACAUUUACUGUUGAGUUAGUUCGAACCAGCUCUCGCCUUUUCACGUUUUUCUCACCGAUUGCUCAAGACUUUCAACUCUCAAACAUCUCAGAUCACACACAUGGAAUAAUGAUGGAUUUUUCUUAAGGUCAGGAUGACACACCUAUCGGGGCAAUGUCGGGAUGUUUAGGCUUGGGUGGAGACGUGGACUUAUGGAAGAGGUGAAGUAGCUUAGCUCUUUGUCAUUAGCUUUAUCUGUUCUAUGCAUCUCUAUAAUCUUACAAUGCUCUUUUAUUAAAUUGCAAGAUGUUGGGACCGGUUACUGGAAUACAAGAUUUGGAACAAAGGUGGUUGACAAUGCAAGAGUCGAAACCAAGUGUGAAAUUCACAUUGAAAAUGACAGGAGAGGGUUGCGCAUGAUCUGUAGGUUCAAUCAAACUCUCUGUUUUCGUUAGAAUCACUAUUAAAGUGUUGAUCUAUCAGGAGAAUUCUCAUCGCAUCAACUUGAACAAACAUUCUUCUACUUAGUUGCUUACCUGCUGAAACAAGAACGAAACACUUUUUAUGUUUUUUUUGUUUAACUGCUAAAACAGGUGGCUGACCUGCAUGACAUAUAUUUUACCAUCUUAACUUCAAGGGCAAUAUAUGUGUAAAAUGCGUGUUGCUUCUAUUUCUCAGGAA